rnacentral:lncRNA from 1 species
GAAAACUUAAAUUUUAUAUAUGGGAAGUGGAUGUGGAAUUGAAAUGUCUGUGUUUGUUUGAUGAAGUUGCCAGUUUAUGAUGUUUAUGAUGUUUUGAUGAAGUUGCAGAUUGAUUAGAACCAGAUUAGAUUUUUUUUAAAGCUUUAAUUGGAUCAGAUUUUGAGGGAGCUUGCUCCUUUCCACUCGUGCGCACGACCAUUUGCACUUCCUGCUACUCAUUUUU